rnacentral:rRNA from 1 species
UAAGUGAUGCACCUGGGGAGUACGAUCGCAAGAUUGAAACUCAAAGGAAUUGACGGGGGCCCGCACAAGCGGUGGAGCAUGUGGUUUAAUUCGAUGAUACGCGAGGAACCUUACCAGGGCUUAAAUGCAGAACGACAGACUGAGAAAUCAGUUUUUCUUCGGACGUUUUGCAAGGUGCUGCAUGGUUGUCGUCAGCUCGUGCCGUGAGGUGUCAGGUUAAGUCCUAUAACGAGCGCAACCCCUAUCAUUAGUUGCCAGCGAUUCGGUCGGGGACUCUAAUGAAACUGCCAGCGCAAGCUGUGAGGAAGGUGGGGAUGACGUCAAAUCAUCACGGCCCUUACGUCCUGGGCUACACACGUGCUACAAUGGUAACGACAGAGGGCAGCCACUUGGUGACAAGGAGCGAAUCCCAAAACGUUAUCUCAGUUCGGAUUGAAGUCUGCAACUCGACUUCAUGAAGCUGGAAUCGCUAGUAAUCGCGCAUCAGCCAUGGCGCGGUGAAUACGUUCCCGGGCCUUGUACACACCGCCCGUCAAGCCAUGGAAGCUGGGGGUGCC